UUCAUGGAGAGUUUGAUCCUGGCUCAGGACGAACGCUGGCGGCGUGCUUAACACAUGCAAGUCGAACGAUGAAGCCCUUCGGGGUGGUUUAGUGGCGAA
rnacentral:rRNA from 1 species